rnacentral:lncRNA from 1 species
UCUUCUGUCUCCUACAGAGAAGAAAACUCAAGAGUGGGAAGAAGCAAGUCUCCAGGCUAAGAAAGACUCCCCUGGAAAGGCCGGCCAUGGCUCCCUUCCUGAGAGAAUGCGAUUGGACUCAGGGAUACCCAGCUCAUGGAGCAAGCUCCAGGAGUCGUGGCCUCCAGGGACAUGGGAGGACAGAGUGACGCUGCCUCAAACGAGGACACUGACAUCUUGUCUCAGGAGGAAGGGCAGAGGCUUCUAUGAUGGAAAGCAAGGAGGAAACACCUUGAGAAAGUUCUGGCUAGGUUUUCCCAGCCUCUGACACCCUCAAGAAGAAGAACCAUGAAUGAGAAAGGAUCCAAUA